rnacentral:rRNA from 1 species
UACGUAGGGUGCGAGCGUUGCCCGGAUUUAUUGGGCGUAAAGGGCGCGUAGGCGGCCACGCACGUCCGUUGUGAAAUCGCCCGGCUCAACUGGGCGGGUCAGCGGAUACGGUGUGGCUCGAGCAAGCUAGGGGGCAAUGGAAUUCCCGGUGUAGUGGUGGAAUGCGUAGAUAUCGGGAGGAACACCAGUGGCGAAGGCGGUUGCCUGGAGCUUUGCUGACGCUGAUGCGCGAAAGCGUGGGGAGCGAGUCCGG